rnacentral:rRNA from 1 species
CCUACGGGGGGCAGCAGUGGGGGAUAUUGCACAAUGGGGGAAACCCUGAUGCAGCGACGCCGCGUGUGGGAAGACGGUCCUCUGGAUUGUAAACCACUGUCCCCAGGGACGAAGAUGACGGUACCUGGGGAGGAAGCUCCGGCUAACUACGUGCCAGCAGCCGCGGUAAUACGUAGGGAGCGAGCGUUGUCCGGAAUUACUGGGUGUAAGGGGAGCGUAGGCGGGACUGCAAGUUGGGUGUCAAAUCUACCGGCUCAACCGGUAGCCGCACUCAAAACUGCAGUUCUUGAGUGAAGUAGAGGCAGGCGGAAUUCCUGGUGUAGCGGUGAAAUGCGUAGAUAUUAGGAGGAACACCAGUGGCGAAGGCGGCCUGCUGGGCUUUUACUGACGCUGAGGCUCGAAAGUGUGGGGAGCAAACAGGAUUAGAUACCCGGGUAGUC